UAAUGACAGAAGAAUAGAUACGUGGUUGCUGACAUCACUUCAUGAAAGGCGAAAACCUCUUCACUUCAUUUGACAAUGCAGUGGCUGUACGAGGAACAAAUGAGGCAAGGAAGCGGUGGCCACCGAGGGGUUUGACGUGGCUUGUGACGUGGUCGCCAUUUACCAUGAUCUCGAGGUUGCCCGAACCAGCUUCAGCACCAUCAACUGUCAAGGGGAGUGAUUGCAUUGAUGUAAAGGAACACCUUUGUAAUAUACCAUAAGUACAGCAAAUAAAGAAUAAUUAAACUGUGUA